rnacentral:rRNA from 1 species
GUGAAGAUCGCUAGUUCAGUGGCGAACGGGUGAGUAAAAGAUAGGAACAUGCUCUGAUGUCGGACAUAGCCCCGCGAAAGCGGGGGUAAUUUCCCAUGUGGUCGCAAGACCAAAGUCGCAAGACGCUUUAGAAGUGGCCUAUCUACUACCAGCUAGUUGGUGAGGUAACGGCUUACCAAGGCGAUGACGGUUACCGGCUCUCAGCGGAGAGUCCGGCACAAUGGGACUGAGACACGGCCCAUACACCUACGGGUGGCAGCAGUUAGGAAUCUUGCGCAAUGGACGAAAGUCUGACGCAGCGACACCGCGUGGAGGAUGACAGCCUUCGGGUUGUAAACUCCUUUUGGUCCGACAUGAAGUUGGACCGAAUAAGCAACUACUAACUACGUGCCAGCAGUCGCGGUAAUACGUAGGUUGCAAGCGUUACCCGGUUUUACUGGGCGUAAAGAGUCUGUAGGCGGUUUUUUAAGUCUUGUUUCAAAGACUCCGGCUCAACCGGAGGAAGGGGCAGGAUACUGAAAAACUAGAGUGAUAUCGGAGUUACUGGAAUUUGUAGUGUAGGGGUAGAAUCCGUGGAUACUACAAAGAACACCAAGCGCGAAGGCGGGUAACUAGGUAUUUACUGACGCUCAGAGACGAAAGCUAGGGGAGCAAAUCAGAUUAGAGACCUGAGUAGUCCUAGCUGUAAACAUUGUCCGUUAAUUCCUUGUAAUUUAUUAUGGGGGAUGUAAGCUAACGCGUUAAACGGACCGCCUGGGGAGUAUAGCCGCAAGGCCGAAACUCAAACGAAUUGGCGGGGAGGCGCACAACCAGUGGAGCAUGUGGUUCAAUUCGAUACGAAGCGAUGAACCUUACCUGGGUUUGAAAUGUAUCUGCAAGCCCGAUGAAAGUCGGGCCCCCCUUCGAGGGUGAUACACAGCUGUUGCAUGGCUGUCGUCAGCUCGUGACGUGAGUUGUUCUCUUAAGUGAGGUAACGAGCGCAACCCCCAUUCGGUGUUAUUGUGUCACCGAAGACUGCCCAGCAUUAUUUUGUUGGGAGGAAGGAGGGGACGACGUCAAGUCAUCAUGAUGCUUAUGUCCAGGGCUACACACAUCCUACAAUGGGCUUUUACAGAGGGUUGCAAGACCGCAGGGUGGAGCUAAUCCCUAAAAGAGCCCUCAGUUGGGAUUGCAGGCUGAAACCCGCCUGCAUGAACCCGGAAUUGGUAGUAAUCGCAAAUCAGCAGAUUGCGGUGAAUACGUUCUCGCCUCUUGCACACACUGCCCGUCAAAUCAGCAAAGUUGGGGGCACCUAAAGCUUGGCCUUUGGCCGAAUCAAGGUGAAUCCAGCGAUGAGGGUUAAGCCGUAACAAGGUAU